GAGUUUGAUCAUGGCUCAGAGCGAACGCUGGCGGCAGGCCUAACACAUGCAAGUCGAACGGACCCUUCGGGGUUAGUGGCGGACGGGUGAGUAACACGUGGGAACGUGCCUUUAGGUUCGGAAUAGCUCCCGGAAACGGGUGGUAAUGCCGAAUGUGCCCUUCGGGGAAAGGAUUAUCGCCUUUAGAGCGGCCCGCGUCUGAUUAGCUAGUUGGUGAGGUAACGGCUCACCAAGGCGACGAUCAGUAGCUGGUCUGAGAGGAUGACCAGCCACACUGGGACUGAGACACGGCCCACGACUCCUACGGGAGGCAGCAGUGGGGAAUCUUGCGCAAUGGGCGAAAGCCUGACGCAGCCAUGCCGCGUGAAUGAUGAAGGUCUUAGGAUUGUAAAAUUACUUUCACCGGGGACGAUAAUGACGGUACCCGGAGAAGAAGCCCCGGCUAACUUCGUGCCAGCCGCCGCCGUAAG
rnacentral:rRNA from 1 species